AGAACCUUCCCCCUUUCCCUCUUCUCCGAUGAGCUUCACUCGCCUUCUCCAGCCACCUCCUAGCUUGAAUCCAUGGUGGUCUCACAACCUACCAGCCUUUUAUGGUUCCUACACGCUUGGUUGCUGAAGUUUCAUGGCUUGACCAUGAAGAAGCUUCGUCCAGAUCUUUUCUGACUCAAUUCCAUGGCCAUCUCUGGCCUUUCUCCUGCAAGCCAUGUCUGUUCGAGCCAGAUCUCGACUCAUCCUGCUUAGAUCAACGACUAUCCAAUCCUCUCUCA
rnacentral:lncRNA from 1 species